CUUCAGGCAAAAAUACUGGAGUGGGUAGCUAUUUCCUUCUCCAGGGGAUCUUUCUGAUCCAGGGAUCAAACCCUUGUCUCCUGCGUUGAAGGUGGAUUCUUUACUGUCUGAACCACUAGGGAAGCCCUAAAAUUAAAUCUAGUAGCUAAGAAAAGAAAUUAUACGCAAAAGUCAACUCCACUUGAUUCUCACCCCAGGCCAGUUGAGGGUAGGCUGCUCCAGCACACGGGCUUUGACUGGCGGGAAGAUGCUCUUCCAUAAAUGCUGGUGGGCUGCCUCCCUCUCCCCCAUUCCCUUCAACAGGUGGCUGGACUUGGAAAGGAAACAGCUCUCUGGCUCAGCAGAAUGCUCUGCGUGGGUAUCCAAUUGUUUUUACUACAAUUUAUUUACAUGUACAAUUAUUUAAUGUACAAUUUAUUACAAAUAAAUAUCGGUGUAUUUAUUGCACUCAGACUGCAUCCAGGGACUCUUUGUGGCUCUGGCAACACAGUGAUGAACAAACAGACACAGGCAUGGUCUUCAAGGGGCUUCCUUGCAUGCGCGGUAUUAUAGUCAGGCAAACAAAUAUCUAACCUAUGACAAUGAAGCCGUGACCAAAAGUAACAAGGCACUCAGCCGGUCAGAGAGUGACGGGAGCUGCAUUUUCAGAUGGGUGGUCAGAAAGGGUCUCUUUGUUUAGGAGAAUUGAAGGAAGCGCAGGAGGAAACCAUGCAGAAGGGCAGAGGGGCUGAAGUAAGAGCAAAGGCCCUGAACUUUCACUUAAUGCUACUUCCUUCCAUCUUUAGACCAGCCCUGCAAAUCGAUACAUAUUAUGCCCUCCAUUGGAGGACAGAAAAAAGGGAAGCCCAGCAAGACGAGGAACUUUCUCCAAAAUGCAGCCAGGGUGGGGCCAGGAUCAAGUUCAUCUUCUCUGACUCUGAAGACGGUGCUGUGAACUCAGGGGGCUGUGUGCCUGAAAGUGGGGAUAAAGAAAGAAAGAAAGUGAAGUCACUCAGUUGUGUCCAACUCUUUGCGACCCCAUGGACUGUAUCCCACCAGGCUCCUCCGUCCGUGGGAUUCUCCAGGCAAGAAUACUGGGGUGGGUUGCCAUUUCCUUCUCCAGGAGAUCUUCCUGAUCCAGGGAUGGAACCCAGGUCUCCGGUGCUGUAGGCAUACGCCUUACUGUCUGAGCCACCAGGGAAGUCCAACAUUAAAAAACAUUCCAGAAUAAAGUCAACAUUAAAAAAUUCCCCAUGGUAUGUAUGUAUGUACUUUUAUUGAGGCAUAGGUGAUGUCCAGUAUUAUAUGUUCAAGUGUGCAACAUAGGGACUCACAAUGUAAAGGCUGUAUUUCAUUUAUAGUUUUUAUAAAACACUGGGCAUGUUUCUUGUGCUAUAUCCUAUAGAGAUAAAUAAGCUGUC
rnacentral:lncRNA from 1 species